UCAUCACAUCAAACUCAAUAAUAGUUUAAGUAUAAGGACAAUCAUGAAUGUAUUGAGAUGAGUUUAAGGUGCUUCCCUUUUAUAAGAAUGGUCAGGAGUGGACUCCAAUUGAAUCCCCACUUGGUAAGACACAGUCCGGAUUAUGGAAGCUCAAUCACACACUUGGAACUGAGCUUCUUUGAUCCGGUUGGUACUGAGUAAUGCACGAGUGAAUCCACCACUUGCAAACUCCACUUUUGAUCAGAGGUGAGGCAAUGAACGACUUGGAUUGGCGCCAGUUGCUUCACCGUCAAAUCACCUUUGAGCUUCUUCUUAUGACCUGAGCUUGUCUCCCCCUUUCUUCUGGCUUCUUGCCUCCAUUUAGGAGUUGAGACAAAGCUUUUCUUUGUUCAUGAGCUCAAUAGGUACCUGAUUCAAUCAUCCAAAAAAUGCAUGUAUCAAUUCUCAAGGGGCAAACCUAUUCACACAUAAGAAUAAUAAUGGUUUUAGGUACUUCCCUUGCAUCAGUUUGUUGAAUGUUGGUGAGGAUUACUAAGCACUUGAAUCCUCCACGCCAUUCCUUCUCUCAACCAGCCUUUGCAUUGUUCUCUUGAAGUUUCAACAUGUAGGGGGACUUUGCAACUCCAUAAUUUGCCACCAUCAUGUGAUUGCUUAGCCAAGAAUGUCCCUGAUUGAAUAAUCCUUGCAUCUGGCUGGUAAGAACAGUGAGGAGUGACAGCUUCUUCAGUUUGAUCACUUAAGUCCUCUUUUAAUUCGCCAACCUCUUGCUGGUCUUCUAUGAGGAAAUGGGACACUGGAUACAGUAAGCUUCAUGGAUCUUUUGGUAGCUCACUGAUAUUCCCCUCCUCAAGCUUGACUGAGUAUAGUGACAAGCUUGAACGUGAGCUUCAACGAGUUUUGAACUGGGAGCACAACAAUACCAACAUCUGCGCUUAAGCCAACUGGAUCACCAUUUGCCUUCAGCUCCAAUGUCUUUGGACCACCAGUCUCCUCAUGACUUAGGUGAUGGCCUUCCUUGUGAGUCUCUUGAACCAGGAGCACAACAGCUCCUACGCCUGCGCUUAAGCCAACUGAUUCCACUCACAAGGUAUCUUUACAUGGUCAGGACUAAACACCUUGAUCCAUGCCUCUGACCACCGGCCACUCUUGGCUUAGUGAUGGCCUUUUCUCUUGAGUGCACCUCCUGUACAUCCUCUUGGCAUCAGGUAAGUCACUUCUGAGCAGUUUCUCCAAUUCUCCAACAUCCUUUCUAUCUUCAGGGUAGGAAAUGGGCAGACACAUAGAUAGGAUUUGGGACUGGGCAAUCUCCACGGUUCAGGAAUAUCCAUCUUGGGAGGCUCUGAAAAACGUGGGCAAUGCCUUCUUCUUUGUCUUAGUUUGAUGAUGGACAGAGAUCACCUCUUGUGUACCUGAAACAUCACUCAAACUCCAGCAAGAAUCAGACCACACACACUAGGAUCAGCCCUUGAUAAUUCACCAAGUCUGAUCCCAAUGUUUUAAGAAAAAAAAUAAAAAUAAAAAUAAAAAGAAAUAUGCAAUGAACAGAAUCUAAACAACUCAUUCAGUUCAACUCCAUGCAUACUAACAUCACUAACUGCUCAGGUAUGAUAACUCAUCAAUAACAAGGCAAUUAGGCUCUUUUUAUGAAUUUUAAAGACAAUAAACAUUGACUAAACAACUCAUCUAAUCAUCUUGAACAAUAUAUAUAAUGCAAUACAAGAUCAGGAGACUCUCCUAGACCUUUAUCAAUGCAACAAGACAAUGACAGUAGCUAAACAAAUCGCCUAGCACAAUACAAACAGAAACAAUUAAUCUAGGACAGGAACUAGACAAUACCAUGCUAGACAACUCCUAGAAAUAAUUUAAGAAACAGAGCAACACACACAAUUUAAGUAUCAUGAGACAGAAACUAGGUUCAACAACUCUAGCAACUUGAACCUGUCC
rnacentral:lncRNA from 1 species